AGAAGUGGGAGGAAGUGAUGAGAGAUUUGAUCCUCUCGUCUUCUGAAGGGGAAAGAAACGGCUGGAGAAGAAGUCUUAGAGAUAGAGGUCGACUGGGAGCUCUACAAUGAGGUGAGUGCAUCGUUUUGUGGCGUCUUGUACUUUUGUCCUCUUUCUAUAUGUAUUUUCCUCAAUGUGAGUGUAUUUCCGAGUUCACCUCAGAAAACCCCUUUUCGUAGAGGUAAUAUUUUCGUGUCGCUGUUGUUGUGAUCUGGACUCGGCGUCCCUUCGCGCCAUGUGGUCGCAGGGCGCACCGACCCGUCGUUGCCUGUUCGGCUUGUUUCUGUGUGAAAAUAGUCGUUCUCUCGUUUCGAAUCUUGUUCGGGGUGCUUCGCGAGGGUACUUGUGUGAGAAAUUCCGAAAAAUUCGUGUUAGAAACACUCCAAACAUUGUUAUGUUGUCCUUCCCUCUGGCGGCGUGGGUCGUGAAAUUUCAGUCAUUUGCCACGCCUGGCGAACGCGUGUCGGCUCACAUUUGUGACGGCAUGAUAAAGGUUUGAUUUUUGAACCUGGUUACUGGGGCGGUUAACUUCAAAUCGACGCGCCGACAAAAGAGGAGGAGGGGGACGCGUGGUGACGUCACACCAGUCGCCGCAAGGUGUCAUGGCUGUCAAAGGCUUUGUUUACGUGCCGUAGUGAUUUUCAAUGUUUUCUUUCAAAGAUUAAUCGUUGAGUGUGUGAAACGUACAAGUGUUGUGCCGAAAUCAUCCGUCUGUCCGUGGGAAUGAAAGGGAAAAUGUGUCGUUGCGAGAAAACGCUCUAGUCGCGUGCUUAAUUCUGUGAUAGAGAGGUUAGGUUUUCUACAAUGAAUCUUUCUUGUUUCAGCUGAGCGUGCCUCCUGGAGUGUUACGUGAGAACAAUCGCCGGAGUGAAGUUCGGCGUUCACUAACUGUCUGGGAAAGGCUCGAACCCAGGUCUGCUUCGAGGAAUACACCCCCCUCUUUGCUUGUGCAGUCUUCGGACGAAGAGGAAGAGGAGCGAUUUGAUCGAUUUCGUGCCGAGCGUCCUCCAAGACAAGUCAUCAUCAUCCCGGAAGAAAUCGAAGAGGGAGAAAUUGUUGAUCCAUCCCCCUCUGCUGAUCCGUGUGUGAGAGUCAACUCACGGGGAAGAGUUAGCUCCGGAGGAGGACGUGGGCGAGGAAGAGCAGCAGGCUCAGGGGAUCAACCAGCAGGGGUCAAUGAACAAUUGCCUCCCCCUGUAGAAGGCUUUGCUGCCCCACCCCGCCGAGGUGCCAGGGUCGCUAGAGGGAAUAAAGGUCGAGGGGCUGGAAUGAGCCCACUCUAUAAAAAGGGGCCAUAAAAUGUAUGAAGCAGAACUUGCAAAGCGCAAGUGAUACAACGUAAUUAAACUUAUGUUUAUUGAAUUUUGAACCAUCUCUACUUUCUUCCUUGUCAAUCCUAUUCUCCUCUCAUCUUAAUCUCGAGACAAGUAUUAUUUGAUUGUUGUCACUCUUAAUGGACUUGAGCACUAUGUGUAGUGGGACUUAAAACUCUAUUUUGGUGUGCUGAAGCUGUCUUUUAUUUUCAAUUGAGUUUAGAGAAUAGUGAAUCCUGUCUGAUUGUAAUUUUGAUGUACAUUCAAGAAUUUUCCUUUUCUUUUUUGGGUGACAGAAACUUGAAGCUUCCUCGGAUCAAACUAACGCAGUUAAUGUUUUGAAAGAUCUUUUGGGUAUGAGUGAUAAAUUUUUAUCAACACUAUGAAGGGAAUGAGCCUCUCGUUAUGUUUUAGUUGAGUGACACUGUUGAAUUUAUUUAUUUCUGACCUAUGUUGAGUUGAGCAGUUUAACCUUAUAGUGUGUGAGUCGAUAUUGGUAAUGUUAUCUUGUCACAAGCAGCUGCUCAUUCAGUAUUGACUUGCUGAGUGCGCCAUUCAUUUUGAAUAGAGUUUAAGUAAUGGAGAAGCUUCUCUGAUAGUCAUUUUGAUGAGAUUUUUAAAAAUUUUGGAGAAAUUUUGGGACAUAGAGUCAUUCAGUUUCUCGGCACUAAUUCCAACGGAACAAGACACUAAAUUGUUUGUACACAAAGAUUUACUUUUGUCUCCUUCUGUUUUCUUCUAUUUGAGCUUUAACACAUUUGGUAUUUAGAGGCCAGAGUAUUUUUUCAUUUAAGGAGUGGAGAAUUUAUGAAGGAAAGUUGACAUUUUGUUUCUGUCACUUCAGAGAACUGUUUUUUUUAUUUUGGAACUUAUUUUGAGUAAGAGUGAUAGACUCUCAGCAAGAAUAUGAAGGGAAUGAGCCUCUCGUUAUGUUUUAGUUGAGUGUCACUCUUGAAUUAAUUAAUUUCUGACCUAUGUUGAGUUGAGCAGUUUAACCUUAUAGUGUGUGAGUCGAUAUUGGUAAUGUUAUCUUGUGACAAGCAGCUGCUCAUUCAGUAUUGACUUGCUGAGUGCGCCAUUGAU
rnacentral:lncRNA from 1 species